rnacentral:tRNA from 1 species
ACAUGUGUGGCAUAGUGGUUUGAGUGCUGGACUACAACUCCGGUGACCAGGGUUCAAAUCCCCACUCAGCUA